GGCUUCCUCUCCCUUGUCUCCCUCACACCAGCCACGAGGGUUUUCAAAGCCUUUGGUUUCAAUCUGACGUGAAGAGAGUUGAAUGAAGGGAUCUUCAGAGCGUUAUCAGAAAGAGAACCGGUUCCAAACUCAAGUUCAGCUGCUCACCACUCGCAGAACAACACUUGAGAGAUAAAUGAUGGUAGGAAAGGACAGGUUGCUUUGUUCAGGAAGCCAGCAACCUGGGAAAAUGGUGGACUAACAUCUCCAGGACCAUCUUCCCUGUCCAGGUGCAUUCGGACCAUGAACUCAAGGGCAGGGACCAUGGUUCAUUCAUCUCUGCAUCACAGAGCCUAGCCUGGAAUACGAUAUUGUUGGAAGAGGUCAGCAAGAGGACGUGACUGCAGGUUGACCCGUGAGCUGGACCCGGCAGUCGGAGGCUCCUCGCCUCCAAUCCUGUCCUUGGAAUAUACACUCCGCUGGCCUUCCCCACUUCCAGAGGCUGCCCCAAGGACACAGCCUUGAGAUAGGUGGUGAUGAGAACACCCGCAUGGUGUACAUGACUGAGCCCAGGUAAAGCCUCCAUGUAAACUUCUAAGAUCUAGCCAGUGGUGUGGGGAUUAACUUGCUCCUCAGGACAAGCCUCAUAUGUAAGUUCCCUUGUUUAUUAAACCCACCACCCACCGACCUGGAGUGGCCUGCCUCUUUCUCUGGUUUCCCCUUUCUUUCUGCUUGCAAGGCCAGUUUCAGAUUUCACCUGGGAACCUCCAGACGGGGUUGUGAACUAACUGUUGAGCCAGCCAGGACGCUAAAGAAAUAGGCCUUGGGAGAGAGGCAUUCUACAGAACAAUCCUGAGUUGGCCAUCAAUUUCUGCGUGCGGGGCAUGGGGUCCCAUGGAUUAGAGGCUUGUGGACCACACGUGCUUCAGGAGUUCCGGGCUUCAGUAUAGAAAUUGCCCAAUGCAAGAACCACACCACACACAACCAGUCACAAAAAUUGCGCAGAAGUGAAGAAACCCCAGUCACAAAGAUAUGAAUAUCCCUGUCUCUUUUUUUUAAUGUUUAUUUAUUUUUGAGAGAGAGUUGAGCCGGGGAGCGGCAGAGAGGGAGA